GCCCCUUAUGACCUGGGCUACACACGUGCUACAAUGGCUGGUACAACGAGUCGCAAGCCGGUGACGCAAUGCUAAUCUCUUAAAGCCAGUCUCAGUUCGGAUUGUAGGCUGCAACUCGCCUACAUGAAGUCGGAAUCGCUAGUAAUCGCGGAUCAGCACGCCGCGGUGAAUACGUUCCCGGGCCUUGUACACACCGCCCGUCACACCACGAGAGUUUGUAACACCCGAAGUCGGUGAGGCAACCGUAAGAGCCAGCCGCCUAAGGUGGGAUAGAUGAUUGGGGUGAAGUCGUAACAAGGUAGCCG
rnacentral:rRNA from 1 species